UAAGGAAUAUUGGACAAUGGAGGCAACUCUGAUCCAGCCAUGCCGCGUGAAGGAAUAAGGCCCUAUGGGUUGUAAACUUCUUUUAGACGGGACAAAACCCCUUUACGUGUAAAGGGUUGAUGGUACUGUCAGAAUAAGCAUCGGCUAACUUCGUGCCAGCAGCCGCGGUAAUACGAAGGAUGCAAGCGUUAUCCGGAAUUAUUGGGUUUAAAGGGUGCGUAGGUGGGCUUAUAAGUCAGUGGUGAAAUCUCCGAGCUUAACUUGGAAACUGCCGUUGAUACUAUAGGGCUUGAAUUAUCUGGAGGUAAGCGGAAUAUGUCAUGUAGCGGUGAAAUGCUUAGAUAUGACAUAGAACACCAAUUGCGAAGGCAGCUUACUACAUAUAGAUUGACGCUGAGGCACGAAAGCGUGGGGAUCAAACA
rnacentral:rRNA from 1 species